rnacentral:lncRNA from 1 species
GUUUAUUAAGCUCUUACUCUGUGCCAGGUACUUUUACAGACAUUCUCCCAUUUAAUCCUCACAAUAAAAAAAGGGAAGCAUUAUCCUUGUCCUUGUCUUUCAGAACAAGAAGCCAACAUCCAGAGAAGUUAAGCCAUUUCCUCAAAUCACAUUGUUUGUAAGUGUGAAACCAAGAUUUUGAACUCAGUCUGUUGAGUGAUUACCUGGCUUCUAUUAAAUUCUGGAAUGAAAACUCAGCUCCCAUCCUAAGACAAGGCAAUGCCCGGUGGCCCAUCUUGUGGUAGACAUGAUUUUCUGCUCUCAUUGGUCAACCUGAAAGUCAAUCAGCUUAAACAACUGGACCGACUCGGCUUCCUGCCUUCUAACGGAAAGUCAUUUCAAUUCAAUUCAAUAAAUACUGUGGACCUACUAUGUGCAGAGCACAGGAGUGGAAGACAUAUAAAUGACUAUGAUAUUGGUCUUUGUUUCAUGAUGCUACUAACAGAGUAGUGGGAAAAUACAAUUAAAAUUGUGUUUAUCCAAUGAGUGAGAUGUGCAACAUUUGGGGGAUGGUCACGCUUGAAGCUCUGACUCGACGGGGGGGGGGGCAAAGGCAAUAUACGUAAGUAACCUUAACAUUUGUACCCCCAUAAUAUGCUGAAAUAAAAAUAAAAAAAUAAAUAAAUAAAAUAACAUUGUGUUUAUCAUUAGGAUAAUAAUAGUUACCACAUAGUAAUGUCUACCAUGUUCUUCUAGAAAAAUUGGUAAGAUCAUGAUCACAGGAGGCAAUGAACCUUGAUUCAAAAUCCAGAUCCACCAUUUGACUCACUGUGUGACUUUGAGAGAAUUCCUCAACCUCUCUGAAUCUCAGUUGCUCAUCUGUGAAUCUGAAAUAAUCAAAGUGUUCACAGGGUUAUUGUGUGGAUUAAAUGGGUUAAUACACAUAAAGAACUUAGAAAAGGGCAUUAUCCUAAGUGAAGUAUCCCAAG